AGAAUCAACGCUGGCGGCGUGCCUAACACAUGCAAGUCGAACGAGAAAGUGGAGCAAUCCAUGAGUAAAGUGGCGACCGGGUGAGUAACACGUGACUAACCUACCCUACAGUGGGGGAUAACUCCGGGAAACCGGGGCUAAUACCGCAUAACAUCGUAAGAUCAAAGGAGCAAUUCGCUGAAGGAGGGGGUCGCGGCUGAUUAGUUAGUUGGUGAGGUAACGGCUCACCAAGACGAAGAUCAGUAGCCGGCCUGAGAGGGCGCACGGCCACACUGGAACUGAAACACGGUCCAGACUCCUACGGGAGGCAGCAGUGGGAAUUUGCGCAAUGGGGGAAACCCUGACGCAGCAACGCCGCGUGGAGGAUGAAGUCCCUUGGGAUGUAAACUCCUUUCGAUCGGGACGAUUAUGACGGUACCGGAAGAAGAAGCACCGGCUAACUUGCGCCAGCAGCCGC
rnacentral:rRNA from 1 species